GUGCCAGCCGCCGCGGUAAUACGUAGGUCCCGAACGUUGCGCGAAUUUACUGGGCGUAAAGGGUCCGUAGGCGUCCCGGUAAGUCUCUGGUGAAAGCCUUCCGCUCAACGGAAGAAUUGCCAGAGAUACUGUCGGGAUUGAGUCCGGGAGAGGGGAGCGGAAUUCCUGGUGUAGCGGUGAAAUGCGUAGAUAUCAGGAAGAACGCCAGAGGCGAAGGCGGCUCCCUAGCCCGGUACUGACGCUGAGGCACGAAAGCGUGGGGAGCGAACGGGAUUAGAUACCCCGGUAGUCCACGCCCUAAACGAUGGAUGCUAGGUGUUGGAUCCGAGAGGAUUCAGCGCCGAAGCUAACGCGUUAAGCAUCCCGCCUGGGGACUACGGCCGCAAGGCUGAAACUCAAAUGAAUUGACGGGG
rnacentral:rRNA from 1 species